rnacentral:lncRNA from 1 species
CUCCCCAAAUGACCUGGAAUUCUCACCACCAAAGAGAAUAUCCUCUCUCUAUAACAAACCGAAAAAGCAGUCUUGUCCUUCCCCUACUACGUGUCAUUCCCUCAUAGCCCAUAUUUCUCUCUAUAAGUGGAAUCUCAUGCUCCCACGUGUCUUAUCUACCGGCUCUUAAAGAAGUGUCUAGAAACAUCUAAAAGAUGGCCAAAAAUAUACAGCACAAGGGUAUAAAAGAAACGCAAGCCCAAGACCCAAAAUUAAGGCUCUACAAUAAUGCAAAUGAUAUAAGGUCUGAAUUUUCAACAUUAAUAAUGCAUGAAAAUGAUAGUAAAAGGAAAAGUAGAAUCAUAAUUAAAAAAAAUAUAUCAAUAAAAACCUUUUAUUAUUACAUCAUAUCGUAUUUUUAAGGGUUCUAUCCUAAUAUAAAUUAUAUUUAUUUUUAUAAUUCAUUUUAAGCAAAUUAUUAUUAAAGCCAUUAUCAUUUUCUAAAAUAGUAUUUCUUAUUUUAAAUUAAAAAAAUCAAUUUAUAACUUUAUUUAAAUAUUAAUAUUUAUAUUUUAUUUAUAUUUUAUAAUACUAUUAAAAUGUUAUCCUUAUUUUUUACUAAAAGAAUACAUGAUUUAUGUUUCAUUGUAAUUUUAGUAUUCAUAUUUAUGAAAAUUAUGAGUACAUUAUUUAUUUAAGAAAUUAUUGGCCAUUCAUUUCAUAUUUAGCCAUUGUGAUUUGUACAAAAUUAAAUUUUAUUUCAAAAUAUAUUGAGAUUUUCAUGAAUUUUAAAAUAUUAUAAUUCGAAAAUUUUAAUAUUAUUAUUCGUUUUUUUAACCCAAAAAAAACUGCUGGUAUUUUCGGGUGGAUAUUCUAUUCAUUGUCAAAGAUGGAAAGCCUCCAUCUGAAUCCAUUCAGCACCUUUGCCACUCUUAUUCUAGGAAACGGAAAUUAAAGAAACUUUAAAUCAAAGUUAAAAUAUAAUGAUCGAUAAUUUGAGAAAUUUUAAAUCGAAGUUAAAAUAAAAUAUGAAAGUUGGUACAUUAAAGAAAAUAGAUGAGCUUAUAUAAUACAUGAAAAGGCUAAUCAGGAGAUGGCAUUAGUGAAAAGGACACUUUUGAAAUGGAUUAUAUAAAUGCAUCUAUGAAAAUAUCGAGCUAAGUACCAUUACAUCCCGAGUCUCUUGAAAAUGGCCUACCAACAGCAACACCUUUUGGAAUAUUGGUCUUUUUCGUUCUUUUUCUCCUUGUCUUUUUCUUUCUCUCCAUCUGUCUUUGGGUUGUUUGGAUUAAAACAUUUGCAAGAACGAGUCAUGUUCGCAAUCUCAUCAAAAUCUUCCCUUUCUCUCUUCUCUAUCUCUUUUCUCUAAAUUCCAAGAGACUUUAUCAAGAUGGUAGAUGAGAGGUGGUCCCUAACUUGGUACUCACAAAUACGCGUUUUAUAGAUGAUUCAAGCUCUGCACACUUAAAGGCGAGAACGAAGCAGCGAUUGCUCGUCUAAAUGGGUUACCACCAAAUCAAGAAAAAUUUGAAUUAUAUGUAUUGAAUUAAUACCUCAAUCACCCCUUGAACACCUUUGCAAGAAAAUAGAAGGAUUGUCAAAUUUUACGAAUAUAUUAAAAAAUAUUCAUGAAAGUUUUGAAAAAAAAAAUAUGAAUAAAAGAAAUUUUAAGGUAAAAUAAAAGACAAAAUAAUACACCUAUGUUUUUUUUUAAAAAAAUAAUUAUAUAAUAUAAUUUGUAACAUUGGAUGAUAAAUUAAUAAAAUAUAUAAAACUUGAAAACACAUUUUAUAUAUAUUUAUUUAAAUUAAAUGUGUUUAAAAGGAAAUGAUACUAAUAUACCGCAUGUUGCAAUUCUGACGUGGCUUCACGUUGGCUGGGAAAAAGCCGUGAAAGUGAUUUGGGUGGGCGCACUCAAGCUGUCUCCACCAAUGAUUUUGUCCAAUUGUUUGUUUUGUCACCUUGGGACGCUGACAAGACUGUUUCACCAACUCUUGGUGUCAUCUAUUUGCACUUGUCCACUUGUCAUGUACACUGUACACUAUUAUAUUAGUAUUUUUCUCAAACAAAUUUAAGAAUAUUACAGGGAAAAGUGGGUUUAACUCUAAUUUAGAAAAAUAUAGAAAAACAGAUUAUUAAAUUUUAUAUUUUAUUUUUACUCAUUUAAAAAUAUUUUAAAAUAUAUGCAUUUUUUCAUAAAUUAAAUAAUAAUUUCCUAAAAUGAUUAUUUUACUUAUCAAGUUGAUAAUACUAACUAAAAAAUUGUUUAUUCAGACAACUAAUUUGAGAUUAAUAAAAUUAUAAAUUUUAAACUUUAAAGCUAAAAAUCUAAAAAUAAAAUAUUAACUUUCACUUCACUAAAACACACUAGUAAAAAAUAUAGAUAUAAUAAAUAUUUUAUAUAUUUAUUUAAUUUUUAUGUUUUUAGUUUUAAUUAUAUUUAAUUCAUAAUUUUUUUUAAUUGCAUUUAUUUUUUAAGUAUUUUAGUUUCAAUUUUUAAAUUUUUAUUUUUGUUGUUGAUGUCAACUAACAAAAAUUUUAUUCAAUUUUAUUUUUAAAAAAAUGAGAAGAUGAGUGGAUUUAUAUAAUAAAGGAUAUAAAAUCAUUAUUAAUUAGAGAAUUAGAAAUAUUUUAUUAUUCUAAAAAAAAAAGUCACAAUGAUUUGUAUUUCAUAUUAUACAAUAAAAAAUUUAUAAUAUAUUUAUUUAUAAGAUACUUUUAUCAAAUUAAAAUAAUAAAUUAAUUUUUUGAUAAUUUUAUUUAAUAUUAUCAAAAAUAAAAAAAUAUUUCAAGAAAUAAUUAUUUGACUUGUGAAAAAGUGUAUAUAUUUUAAAAUAUUUUUAAAUACAUGAAGACAAAAUUGAUUUAUAUAAGUUGGGAUUCCUAUUUUUAUAUUUUUUCAAAUUAAUAUAUCAAAUUAAAAACAGAAUGUUUUGUAAUAUUCUUUAAACUAAAGAAUAUGUAAUCCUUUAAUCGGAUUUCAUAAAUUGAUUUUUAUUCAAGGUUGCUUCCACUUAUUCUUGAAUCAAGCGCAUGUGAGGACUAAUGAAGCUUGAUCUCAACUUACUUUAUCGUAAGUUUUUGUCUCUUCAUUUGUGUCCUAAAGAGUAGAAGAAAGUUCAUCUAUUUAUAAGAAAAUUUGAAUAAGAUUUUUUUUAUUAUCUACCAUCCUUGUUUUUAUUUAAAAACUUCAAUGAUUUUCACAUAUAAUGCGCAAACUCCAUGGGUAUUUGAUAAAACAACUUAAUAAACUUAAAAUGAUUUAAUAAUUUAAUUCAAAUAAAUUAAGUAUGUUUGAUAAAAUAACGUAAUUAUAUGACUUAAAGUCAAAAACAAUUUUAAGUAAUAAGUAAAAAUAAUUAACUUAUUCUUAAGUCCACAUCUUCAUUUUACAUUUUUAUUUCAAUUUGUCUUAAUAACCUCUACGAUUUCUUUUGAUACUCUAUGACCUUCAUCAUUACUCGACCUUCUUUGUCUUAAUUAUAAUUUAUGAGGAUAAAUAUAUCAAUUUGAGGAUUUAAAAUAAAUUUUAAGUUAAUUUUAUCAAAUAAUCUUAAUACUUAAAAUAAGAAUUAUAUAAUAAGUUUUAAGUAAACAACUUAAAUAUAAUUUAACUUAAAGUCAACUUAAAUAAUUAAGUAACAAGUAUUAAGUUUUACUAAACACCCAUCUUAAUAGAAUUUGGGUCCACAAAUAUUUUGCCAAAAAUCAUUUUUUUUUUUGUUAUAUACCGUAUUACCAAAAAUACACUAGAAGAUUACUUUUAUUUUUUAAUAUCAAAAUAAUAGGUGAUUUAAAAAAAAAAACAUUUCUAAUAAAAGUGUUACCAACAAAAUAAUUACAUACUAAAAGCAUUUUCACCAAGGAUAUGUUUGGUUUUUAGAAAAUUUGAGGGAAAAAAAUUAAGAAGAAAAGUAGAAAGAAAAAGUGAAAGAAAAUAAAAAAUAAUUUUAAACUCAAUAAAUUAUUUUUAUAUGUUUCUUUAAACUCAUUUUACUUAUUUUUCUCUAUUAUAUAAAGAUUAAAUAUUUUAAAAUAUAAAUUUUAAUUAUUUUCUUUUAUAUUUUUUAUGAUGAAACCAAAUAUGAGAAAGUUAUUUUCUUUAACACUUUUUUUUUUUCCUUAAUACUUUUUGGUAACCAAACGCAACAUAAAAUUACUCUCAAAUCCACCGGUAUAUAAUUUAAUUUAGGGCAUAUUAUGUUAGGCACCACAAAAUGGCCUCAACUUACAAAAUUGCUUCCUACCAUUAAUAAAUUUGGUCUCAUAAUAGUAAUUAUGAUAUGAUCUUCUUUUUCAAUAAAACUUUAAAAUUAUAAUCCACCAAAAAAAAUAUCUCAUAUUAUUGUUGGAGUUGGUUGAGAAAUUAUCAUUGUAUGAUUAGAAGUAUUUUCUAAUAUUUAAAACCAUUUUUCAUAAAAUUAGAAAUUUAAUAAAAUUAUAAAAAAUAAAUAAAAAUAAAAAUCUAGAGAAUCACAUGAGCUUACAUUAUCACUUAAAAAUCUUUGUUUUUUCUAAAAAACUUAUUUUUUUUUGUCAUACAAUAUAUUUCCAUAAGCAUUAUCAAAAAAACUUUUAAAUUUAUAUCUAAAAGUUAAUUAAUUUUCAUAAAUAAGUUUUCUUUUACUUUGUAUUUUAAUAAAAGUGAUACUAAUAAAAGCAUAAUUAGAUAAAGAUAUCAUCGUUAUAAUUACUUCAAAUGACCUUUAGAGUACAUUUGAUAGUGAUUUUAGAAAGUAUUUCUAACGUUUUUAAUAUUUAAAAGACAAAAAAUUUCAAAUGUUAAAAAAAAUUAAAAACAUUUUUUAGAAUUAUUGUCAAAUGUACAUAAUCUCACACAAAUGUGAUCAUAUACUAAUACAAUGAGAUCAUGUCCAAAAAUAAAAGAAGGUUGUGAUAAAUUAUUCAACAUAAAUCUAAUGUAACUAUUCCUUAUUAUAUAGUCUUUUUUUCUUAUUAUGUAUGAAACUUUUACAAAAUAAGUGAAAAUUUUAAAAUGAUCAAAACCCCAAAACUUUUGUGCCACUACAUCAUGGUGGGGGCCAAUGUGAAAGUGAGCCUCGAUGUUACAUAUCCCUAAAUAGUAUAUAUAGGGUCCAACACUUGAAAGAAUCAAUAGGAAGCACAAUUUCAAAGAUAUUUUAUCAUGUAACCAUGUGCCAAAUGCCAAAAGGUCGUGCAUGGACAUUUUGGUAUGUUGUCUCCAUCACAACAUGUCCAAGAUUCACUCUCUUCUAAUUAUGAAUUCACUGAAAUUAGAAUAAAUUAAACCUUUUUUUUUCUAUUUUAUUAUAAAAUUUUCUUCGAAAGAAAGGACAUGAGCCAAUCAACUAAUUAGGUGAGAGUAAUUUUUGUAAUCUUAUUUUUACUUUAUAUCACUUUUAUUAAUAGUGAUUUUAUUUUAUGGUAUUUUUGGAAAUAAAUUGUAGGAGCUAAAAAUUUAUCAUAAUUAUAAUAAAAAAUAUAAAAUAGAUAAAUGACGGAUAAUCUUUUUAAAAAAUAUAUCUUGAUUAUAAUUAUAUAAUCAUGAAAUGCUACAAAUAUAAAACUUGUUGAACCUUGUCAAAAUGACUCUUUUAUACGAGUCCAAAACGUUGCUCUUGUGGAAAAUUUAUAGAUGAGUUAUCCUUUCAUCCUUGUAUUGUAUUUAUAGUAGUGACAUGGUUACAUAUAUCAUAGUGGGUGGUUACAUUGAUAUAGUUGGCAAUUACAAAUAUAAUCUCAAAAUAUUUUACUCAUGACUUAUUUUGGCUCAACGAUGGUUGGUUUCCACUAGGACAUAGAUUGUUAUUAUGUUAUCUUUAGAAUGGUACUUGACUAAUACUAGGACUCAUGUUGUUGUUUUAUUAUCUUUAGAUUUGUCAAACAAUGGUUUAGGGUACUCUGCCACAUUGCUCCCCAAACGCCCAUGUGGUCACAACUUGAGCUCACAGACUACUUGGUUGGGCUAGUUUUGGUUGUUUAUACUCUCGAAAUGCUACAAUUAUCUUCCUACUAUUGAGAUGUGCAUCUUCCUAAUACUUGAAUUUGUAUUUUCCUUGUAUUUCUUCCAAAUGCUUAGAUUUCUAAUCCGAAUACUUUGUUUUCCUCUUAUCCCUACUAUUUUGCUUUUUGUUAUCCUUCUUAUCCUUCUUGUUGUCAAUCUUCAAUAUUUUGCUUUUUAUUGUUAUUCAUAUUGUCUUUCUUAUUGUUAAUCUUCUUGGAUCAAUCUUUCCAUCUAUUAUUUGAACUUGGACUAAAGCCUUUGCAUUUAAAUACAUAAUUACUUAUUGGAUUCUAUGCUAAAAUCAAUUCAAUCACUUGUUCUAUAUUUUUUUGUGAGGAAUCUUUCAUUUUUCAACUAUCUGUUAGUCAAUUUUUAGACUAAGCCUUUGUUAGAAGUUCUAUCAUUUCAUUUUUUUUAAAUUGAAAUUUAUUAAUAUGUCGUCUGAAACAAUAAUAGUGUACAUAUAUCUAAUUUUAGAGUAGAAUCCAAAGGGAAUUUAAGAGAAAAUAGAUUCUCAUCAAACUCUGAGUUCCUAUAACAAUAAAAAUUUAAUAAAUUAUAAUGAGAUAACAUUUAAGUAUUUAAAAAUAUAGAUAAAAAAAAAAAGAUUAAAAAGGAUAAAUUCUUCUUGUGAUGAAGUGAGAUAGUGCACACAAGAGUUGUUGUCAUGACUUCUCGCUAAGUAGGUUAAUGAUUGGAUAACUUUUUUGCUAUUCUUGUAACUUGUAUUUGCUAUAGGUGCAACCUCUUUCGCUAUUCUUGCAACUUGUAUUUGCUAUAGUUUCAACCUUAUUAUAUAAUAAUUAUAAUAAAUAAAAUUAUAAUUAGAUAAAGAUUAAAAAUAAGAAAAUAAGUAUCAUUCUCUAAUGAGAGUUUUUAAUUCUAAAGUGAGUUCUAAGUUCUAGCACUAAUUGCAUAUGCUACUUUGCAUUCUACCUUUCACUAAGGAAAACCGUAACUUAGUUUUAUAGAAGAUGGCAUUUUGUUGUCUUCCCAUAAAUGAUGACAAAUUUAGGAGCUAAAAACUUCUCUUAACAAUAGUAGAAUGAAAAUAUGACUAUUAGUAGUAAGGAGGUGAUAUUAGAGUACUUAAGUAGCAAAUGCCUUCACUAGUACUAGAUGCACUAAGUAGGAUCCUUAGAUUGCUUAUCACUAGGAGCUCAGUGUAGAUGACACACCCUAGGAGCAUCAAUCCAAAUUGCGCACUUAGAGAAACAUAGUUUAAUUACGCACCUUUAAGUGGUGGUUUAGGUUGUGUAUUUAGGGGGUCAGGUCUACAUUGCACAUUGAAAGGACAUUUAUUAUAUUAUGCUUUGGUGAAUAGCGCACUCCCCUUAGGCACUCCAACAAUAGUGUACUUCAAUCUGCGCAUGACACUAAAUUACGACAAAAGUAAAGCCUUGUGUAGUCAGCAUACCUUGGGGAUGCCAUUUAGGAUUGCACAUCAUUAUGCACUUAGCAACUUGGACUACAUAGCACACUUCCGAUUGUUUACUAAAGGAACUCCCUUUAGAUUGCACAUUUCCCUUAAGGUGCAUCAACCACUACACACCACUAAGUGUGCCAAGAUGGCGCACUAUACAAGCCCAACUUGCAUAGUACUCAUAGAACAAACAACCAUAAAUGUGUUAUUGAUUCAUCAAUAAGCUAAGUGCACAUCCAUAUCCCUUUGGUGCAAAUUUUAAUUCAAUAACUCAAUGAACCUCCCCUUAAUAAAAUCUAUUUUCUCCUCCAUCUAUGAAGCAAAUUGCAAAUGGCUCCUAUCUUAGUGCAUUACCUUGACUACUCCACCUUGCACAUGCACUACAUCUUCCAAACAUUACACAUUUAUUAAGGUUGCACGAAAAAUAGUGUCCACAUAGCUUUGAAUGUUCCAUCACAUCACCAAACAACUACAUUGAAGAGACAAGAAGCACAAUCACCUCCCACCCCCAUACUGACAUCUUUUACUGAUGGCUACCCUAAUGGCUACCUUGAUACACCACCCACAUGAGGCAUAACAAAAUAUGGAUAACUUCGGAUAAAUGAUGAGGAGAGGGAUAUUUUUUUGCCUAUAAAUAGGAGAACUGUAAAUAGUGAAUAUGGGGGAAGGAGAUUUAAUUUCCUAUUUGAAAUAUGUUUUUUUUUUCGCAAUUCAGUAAAAUUUAUCUUUAAGUUUCUAUGUUUUAGCUUUAUGUUUCUGUCUUCAUGUUUCUAUGUUUUUUUUUUUUCAUUUAUGUUUGUCUGCUCCAAAGGUAGUGAAAAGGGUUGAGAUUUCCAUAUCUUAGUUCAAUCCUCCAUUAAUUUAGUUGUUGAUGGUUGAAAAGGGCCUCUCUUAGAUGAGUGACUACAAGGACAAAAAAAAAGUACUCCUUAGAGAGAAAAAUGGGUAUGAGCUUUUAGUUGUGAGAGGCAUAAGUUAAGCAACCAUUACGUCAUGUUUAUGUUUCUCCACUAUAGGCCUAAUAAACAAAAAAUAAUCCUUUUGAUCGACAUGAGUAUAAACUUAUCUAAAUCAUCUAAUUGUGAAAACCCAAAAAAAGCAAUUAGACCGAGUUAAUCUUUCAUGAGGUGGUUAAUGCUCUUGUCAACUAGAAUCCCUUUAGUACAAGCCCUUAGUCCAAUCCAAAAGCUACAAGCACUGGUUUAACAAAAUUGUGGCUUCCUAAUUCAACAAAAUUUGGGUUCGAUAAGUGAUGGGUCACACACAUUUGAUAUGUGGCAUAUAUUCUAAAGGUGAAAAAUAGCAAUUUGAAAGGCUAGAAAAUUUAGUCUUGCAAAUAAAAUCAAAUGAUUAUUAAGAGAUAUUUGAGUUCUUUAUUUACAUGUGUGCAUAAGGAUAUUUUAGUUAAUAUGUAAGGUUGCACAUGAGCUCUUGAAUGGUCUCUCUAGACUAGACUAAUUAAUUAAUUAGAGCUCAAUAAAGUUAAUUAAUCAAUUAGAUCCCAAGUGGGUUGGAUUAGGUAACCCAAAACUAAUAGGAUUCAAGUUACUUAAGCCCAUAAGGAGCCUAUAUAAAGCCUUAGGGGUUAGGCCUUCAUUCUAACCUUUCACUCUUGUCAUUUAGUCCAAAGAAAAGAGAGCUCUAACCACCACUCUUUUGUGAGGCUACCGCCACUUCCAAUGCCAAAAGUAAAGGAAAGAGAGCCAUCAGAGAAAGAUCCCUUGGUUUGCGAGAUGUGUGCUACUCCACAUUGAUAAGAAACCAUUUAGGAACAUGCCUAUUUGAGGUAAAGCACCUUAAACUCUAAAUCUAAGUUUUUGGUAUUCAUAUUGCUUUCACAUGUGAGAUCUGAAGAGUCCUUAAGAUAAUUUACAUGCACCCUAAUCAAUUUCAGGCUAGGAAUUGAGCAAGAAUGACUAGAUCAUAUGGAUCCAAGAUUACAUGGGACAUUGGACUUAGUAAAAUUUAGUCAAUGUAUCUUAUUCUUAACCUUUUGAGCUUGUUCUUCGGUGUUACAAUUUGCAAUGAGUUUUAAUUUCAACUAACCUAUGUAGAGUGAAUGGAAUGAGAGUUCGACUUCUUUGCAUUAAUUUUUUCGUCCAUCCGUAAUUACGGAUUUAUCCCACAAUAAUCAUACCCAAAUAUAAUAUAUUUGAGAUUUUUUAUACUUUUUAUGGAAGUUUUUUUAUUUUAAAAACAAAAAAUAGGAAUUACUAGCAUUUCCCUCUGAAGAAAAAGAAAAAUGGAGUUCAAAAGUCAAUUUAAAUUUCAAAGUACGAAACACCAGAAGAAAUUAAAAGGGAAAAUUGUGUUGUGAACCUAGUUUGACCCAAAAAUUAACAUUUGGUCCAUAUAACUUCCAUAAUUGAUGGAAAUGAUAAAAGAUGUUAAAAGACCAAUAUAUCCCUCAAAUUGCCUUUUAAAGGAUAAUUGAUGGAUUUUUCACUGUUUUAAAUUUUUUUUAUAAAUAAUUGAAAAGCAACAUUACUUUCUAAAAAAAUGGUAAUAUGAUUUAUAUUUUUUAUAUUUUCUUUUUGAAAAAACAUUUAAUUAAAAAAUUAAAACUAUUUUUAAAAAUAAAAAUUGAAAACCUUGUUUAGUACUAUUUUUUAUAUGAAAAUAAUAAAAAUAAUUAAAUUUCAUUCAUUGAUUAUCCAUUUUUAUUUUUUUAUAUUGGUUAUUUUAAUAAUAAUAAAAAAUAUAGUAUGUUUACAAUUCAACAAAGAAAUUGUUCAAUUAUGCGUUUUUUGUGGGACUAUUUUUUACAUGAAAAAUAAUUAAAUAACUAAAUUAUAUAUAUUUAUUACUCUUUUUAAUUUUAUUUUCUUUAUUUAUUUAUUUUCUAAUAGAAAAUUUUAAUAUAUCCAUAAUUAACAAAGUAAUAAAUCAAUUGUGCACAUUUUAAUCUAUUAAAAUAAAUUACUUUCUAAUUUAAAUAAAUAAAAUGAAAUAAGUAAAUAAAUUUGGGGUUAUUUCUAUUUUUUAACAUAUCUUAUAUCAAUAUUUUUUAUGGUUAAAUAAAUUUUUUAUUUAUUUUUCUUUAAUUCCAAAAAUAAAAUGAAAUAAAUAAAUAAAUUUGGUAUUUUCUAAGUGAUCUUAUAUUCAUAUUUCUUAUGGUUAAAUAAAUUUUUUAUUCUUUUUUCUUUAUUUCCAAAAAUGAAAGGGAAUAAAUAAAUAAACUUGGCUUAAAUAAUAGUUUUUAAGUAAUUUCUUUGUCUUAUUUUUAAUUACAUUUUGCAUUGAAAAUAAAAUAAAAUAACGUUUUAUUUGUUUUAAUUAUUUUAAAUGUCAAACUAUUGAAAAUAACGUAUAAUCUAAGGAUUAUACGUUCUCCUACCAUAAAUUCUUUUAUUUCAUGUACUUUAUUUAACUCGCAUAUAACAAUUCAAAUACUUACCUUAAUAGUUUAGGGAAAAAUUUUGUUUUUACGUUUUAUAUCAUUUCUUAAAUCAAACCAUUGGAAACAUGGUUCACACAUUAUAUGUGGCACAUAAUGUAUGCAUAUGGAUAAAAUUUGCAAAAUUGUACAAGGGUGGUAUACCAACUAUACAAGGUAAAUGUUCAAUUAGGCAAGACAAAUGUUCUAACUGUAUAAGACAAAUGUUCUAACUAUACAAGGGAUAUACAAGACUAUCCUUUGUGAAAGAUUUUAAUCAAUUUUGGACAACUUUUUUUUUGUCUUGUCAUCUAAGGAUUGCACACUCUUAAGGUACACUUUCCUCUAUUACACACUCAUUUUAUACACUUUAUUUAACUCGCACAUGAUAAUUAGAAUUUUUAUCCCACUAAUGAUGUUUGAGAGAAAAUUUUGUUUUUCCAUCUUCCACUAUUUUUUGAAACAAACCAAUGAAAACAUGGUUAACCUACCUAUGGUUACACAUUGAGUAGGGGGUAAAUGGAAUUUGAGUUACUGUACAAGGUAUUUACACUAAGUGUACAUAACAAAUACAUUAACUGUACAAGGGUGUACACGACUAUUAUUUAUGAAGGAUUUUAAGUGAUUUUGAAAAACUUAUUUGUUUAUUUCCCCUAACUGAGGAUAAAUGACAUUCCUUACACACACAUUGAUUAAGCAUACAUUCAUCUCAUGUACUUUAUCUAACUUGUAUAUGGUCAUUUGAAUAGGUACCUCACUUAUGAUGAUUGUAAAACAAAAUUAUACAACAAUUUUUCUUCUUUUUUAAAACCAAACCAAUGCAAACAUGGUUAAUCGACCUAUUGUCAGAUAUUCAUGAAAUGAUGUAUGAAAUUUAAGUUAUUGUAUUAGAGUAUUACACUAACUGUACAAGACAAAUUUACUAAUUAUACAAGGGUGUACAAGACUACUUUUUGUUAAGGAUUUCAAGUGAUUUUGAAAAACUUUCCCAUUUUUUUCCACUCGAAGAUUUUUUUCCCCACUCAAAUUCUCUCACUCAAGAAUUGUUUCGAAUUUUAUUUUUAAAUUUCAUUAUCAAAAUUUUGUAAUUGCAUAUUUUGUUUUUGUAGUUUUAGCAAUGUUCUUUCUUUCCACUAUUUUUUUUUUUUGUGAAAUUUUAUCCAAAUGAAUCUAUAUUUAAAAUUAUAAUCAUAUUUAUCAAAUUUUUUACUAAGAUUAUCUUUAAUUCUUUUAAUAUAUUUAUACUCAUUUAUUUAAAAAAUGAAAAACUUAUUUAUUUUUAUUUUUUUGUAAACAUGUUCUAUUACCUUUCAAGUAAAAAAAUAAGAUAAGUUUCAAAGUCAAUAAAAAAAAAAUUAAAUACCACUUUCAAUAAUUUUUAGAUAAAAUUUUAUAUAAUAUAUUUUAUUUGAAAUUUAAUUUCUAAAGUUUAAUUAAAAAAUUGUGUUGACAAUUUUCUUGUUGUGAGUCAAAAUACUUUGCAUUAGUCUAUCUAGAUAAGAAAAAUUAUUAAUAUAAUAUUAGAACUUCUUAUCUUAGUUAUUUUUUUCAAUAAAUUUAUCUUUUUAAAAAUUUUAAAAUAAAAACAUUAAAAAUUUAAAAGCUAAAAGGAUAUAUAUAUAUAUAUAUAUAUAUAUAUAUAUAUAUAUAUAUAAUAAAGUGAAGUGAUAGUCAAUUUUUAAAUUUUUUAAAAUAUGGUUAAUGUAGAAAAUAUAAAAAAUAAGAGAAAAUAUAAAUGAAAGGGUAAUAUAAAUUUAAAAUAAAAAAUGAAAAUUAAACUAAAAGAUAAAUACAAAAAGAUAAAAAAUAUUUGGAUGAAAAAUCUCAAAAAUUAUAUCAUUGCUUAUAAUAAGAGCAAAAAGAUUCAAUAUCUUUAAAAAUGAAAAACAAAAAAACAUUAUUGCUUUUUAUUUGACAUAAAAUAAAAAUAUAGAUUGGAAGAAAAAGAAAGAAAAAAAAGUUAGAAAUGAGUAAUACUUAAUAGGAAAUAGAAAAAGAAAAAAAAAACACACAAAAAUUGAAAUUCACACUCAUUUGUGUCUAUGUAAGGGUUAACAGUAUUUUAGGGAUUAAUGAAGGACAAGAUCCUUCAUCUUAAUUUUUAUACUUUGUUUGGGUAUUGUGUUUAAAUAUGCAUGAUAUAUAGACCAAAUAUUUAUUUUUGGACCAGUUGGCACAAAACACAAUUCUCCCAAAUUAAAAGGGAAGAGUGCAGAAACAUGUUGCUUUUGCAGGUCACAAUAAUUGAUAUGAGUAGCAUUGACCAACAAACACCCCAUGGUGAGGAUAGACUACAGAGGAGGGAAGAAUUGGAUGAAUGAUGAGUGAGUUGGUUCAAAGGCCAUGGUCACGAGAUGGAACCCACAACUACCAAUAUAUUUAUAAUGAAAUUAAGGUGAAAAAAACUGGCUGACAACCAGUGUGAACAACACUCCAAAAAACAAAGGUCACGAGCCAUUACAAGACAAACGCCUAUUAACCCACCCCUAGGCUUCUAUACACCGAUCUCUCCCCCUCACACUCCCCCAUCCAUUCUUUUUCUCUAUAAAUCAGAGCCCUUUUUCCGAAACCCCAAGCUCCAUUUUUCAGUGCCUCUCUUCUCUCCUCUUCUCUUCUCUCAAUUCUCUGCUGCUUCUGCAGAAUCAACAAUGAAGUUAGCUAUGACUCUCUUGUUGUGUUCCCUCAUUGGCCUUAUCUUUUCUGCCACUCCCACCCUUGCUCUCAACAUUGGUGUUCAAGCCACAGAUGGCUCCGUCACUCUGGUAUGUCUAUGUCUCUGCCUCUUCUUUGUCCUCCAUUUUCCUCUAAAAAUAAUUAAUUCCUCUUUCUUAAUCUAUCCCUGCAGAGUAAAGAAUGCAGUAGAAAAUGUGAAUCUGAAUUCUGUUCAGGUACCCCCUUCUUCUUCCUUUCUUGUCUUGUCUUUUUUUUUUUUUGAUGUUUGUUCGGGGAGUGGGGGGAUGGGGAUGGGAUUAAAUACUUCUUUAAUUUAUACACUUUAAUGGGCUCCAACUAAUGGUUUUCAUUUUUUGUCUGAAUGGUAGUGCCUCCAUUUCUGAGAUAUGGCAAGUAUUGUGGACUCCUGUAUAGUGGGUGCCCUGGGGAGAAGCCAUGUGAUGGCCUGGAUGCUUGUUGCAUGAAGCAUGAUGCCUGUGUACAAGCCAAAAACAGUGAGUUUUUCACAUCUUAGAAUCUAUAAUUAUCACAUCUCUAACAUGACACAUUAGUCAAAUGACCCUCAUUUCUUAAAAUUUUACAUCACAUGCCACUCAUAAAAUCAACUAUUUUUGUUGCUCUGACUGUUAGUUUAUAUUCUUCAUAAUCUUCAAAAAUUUUGGGAAUGGAGGGCCUUCCUGUACUCUUAGGACAAAAUUGCCCUCAUUGCAGUGGCCAGAAAAUGCAUGCUCGGAUGGCAAUCUUGUCCUUUUGUUAGGGAAUCUCAUCCAACUAAGAUUUUAGCUCCCAAUAAUAAGAUGAUAAAUGUGUAAAGAAGAAUAUUUUUUUCACAAGAAAAAUGAUGGGUGGUUGGUGGUGCAGAUGACUAUCUGAGCCAAGAGUGCAGCCAAAACUUCAUAAACUGCAUGAACAGCUUCAAGAGCUCAGGAGGGCAUACAUUCAAGGGCAACAAAUGCCAAGUAGAUGAAGUUAUUGAUGUCAUCACCCUUGUCAUGGAGGCUGCUUUGCUUGCUGGAAGAUACCUUCAUAAGCCUUAGAAUUUCCUUCUCUUCUUUCUUUUGUGUGUUUUAUUUUGUAUGGUCAAGGUUGGGGAAAGUUCAUAGUAGCUUUCUCCUCAUGAUCAUUAACUUUUUUUUCUUUAAGCUUUUCUUCUAUGGGAAUAUGAAAAGACAGCAAAUGUUAACUUCUAUUUUUUUUUUUUUAUGAUUUGUUUGGAUGCCAAGAAAAUGUAUGAUUAAAAAUAGUGACUUAAAAUUCAGGUUAGAAGAAUCAAAUUUUUAGGCUUGGUCCCUCUACUGCCUAUCCUCUUAUAUAAAAUGAAGAAAAGAAAAGUGUUCCUAAA